GUAACGGCGAGUGAAGCGGCAACAGCUCAAAUUUGAAAUCUGGCCUCUUCGGGGUCCGAGUUGUAAUUUGUAGAGGGUGUUUCGGGCGCGAUGCCGGUCUAAGUUCUUUGGAACAGGACGUCGUAGAGGGUGAGAAUCCCGUAUGCGACCGGCGAUCAAGCCUGUGUGAAGCCCCUUCGACGAGUCGAGUUGUUUGGGAAUGCAGCUCAAAAUGGGUGGUAAAUUUCAUCUAAAGCUAAAUAUUGGCCAGAGACCGAUAGCGGACAAGUAGAGUGAUCGAAAGAUGAAAAGCACUUUGGAAAGAGAGUCAAACAGUACGUGAAAUUGUUGAAAGGGAAGCGCUUGCAAUCAGACCGGUCCGGAGGCGAUCAGCCGCUGCUCGUCAGCGGUGCACUCGCCUGCGAUCCGGCCAGCAUCGGUUUGGGCGGCGGGAGAAAAGNGCCGGGGAAUGUAGCUUCUUUCGGGGAGUCUUAUAGCCCGGGUCGCAAUGCCGCCCGCCUGGACCGAGGACCGCGCUUCGGCU
rnacentral:rRNA from 1 species